CCAGCUCCAAUAGCGUAUAUUAAAGUUGUUGCAGUUAAAAAGCUCGUAGUCGAAUUUUGGGCUUGGCUGAAGGGUCUGCCUCACGGUACGCACUCUUCUGGUCGGGCCUUUCCUUCUGGCGAACCACGGUGCUCUUCACUGAGUGCCGUGGGGAACCAGGACUUUUACUUUGAAAAAAUUAGAGUGUUUAAAGCAAGCCUACGCUUGAAUACAUUAGCAUGGAAUAAUAGAAUAGGACCCUGGUUCUAUUUUGUUGGUUUCUGGAACCGGAGUAAUGAUUAAUAGGGAUAGUUGGGGGCAUUAGUAUUUAAUUGUCAGAGGUGAAAUUCUUGGAUUUAUGAAAGACUAACUUCUGCGAAAGCAUUUGCCAAGGAUGUUUUCA
rnacentral:rRNA from 1 species